GAACGCGAAGAACCUUACCAAGUCUUGACAUCCUUUGACCACUCUAGAGAUAGAGCUUUCCCUUCGGGGACAAAGUGACAGGUGGUGCAUGGUUGUCGUCAGCUCGUGUCGUGAGAUGUUGGGUUAAGUCCCGCAACGAGCGCAACCCUUAUUACUAGUUGCCAGCAUUAAGUUGGGCACUCUAGUGAGACUGCCGGUGACAAACCGGAGGAAGGUGGGGAUGACGUCAAAUCAUCAUGCCCCUUAUGACUUGGGCUACACACGUGCUACAAUGGAUGGUACAACGAGCAGCGAACUCGCGAGGGUAAGCGAAUCUCUUAAAGCCAUUCUCAGUUCGGAUUGUAGGCUGCAACUCGCCUACAUGAAGCCGGAAUCGCUAGUAAUCGCGGAUCAGCACGCCGCGGUGAAUACGUUCCCGGGUCUUGUACACACC
rnacentral:rRNA from 1 species